UACGGAGGGGGCUAGCGUUGUUCGGAAUUACUGGGCGUAAAGCGCGCGUAGGCGGAUCUGCAAGUCGGGGGUGAAAUCCCGAGGCUCAACCUCGGAACUGCCUUCGAUACUGCGGGUCUCGAGUCCGGGAGGGGUGAGUGGAAUUCCUAGUGUAGAGGUGAAAUUCGUAGAUAUUAGGAAGAACACCAGUGGCGAAGGCGGCUCACUGGCCCGGUACUGACGCUGAGGCGCGAAAGCGUGGGGAGCAAACAGG
rnacentral:rRNA from 1 species